GUCUAAUCUGCCCACUGAAAAUUUUAAAGGGCCGCAGUAUUUUAACUGUGCUAAGGUAGCAUAAUCAAUAGUUUUUUAAUUGAAAGCUGGAAUGAAUGAUUGGACAAAAAAUAAUCUGUCUUUUUAUUAAAUUUUGAAUUUUACUUUUAAGUGAAAAGGCUUAAAUACAUUAAAGGGACGAUAAGACCCUAUAAAAUUUUACAAAGAUAUUAAUUUUUAUUAUAAAAAUAUUUUAAUUUUAUUAAUUGAUAAUUUGUUUAGCUGGGGCGGCGCUAAUAUAAGUUAGGUUUAACUGUUAAUAAAGUUUAAUACUGAUAAGUAGAAUGAUGAUCUUUAUUAAAGAUUAAAAGAUUAAGUUACUUUAGGGAUAACAGCGUAAUUUUUCUUGAGAGCUCCUAUCGACAGAAAAAGUUGCGACCUCGAUGUUGAAUUAAGAUAUUUUUUAAAAGUAGAUUUUUAAUUAAUUAGUUUGUUCAACUAU
rnacentral:rRNA from 1 species